rnacentral:lncRNA from 1 species
UCGCGCGGCCGCAUGGCUGGGCCGCGCGAGCUCGCGCGGUCUCCUCGCGCGGCCGCGCGCCUGGCCCGCGCGGUCUUCCAGCGGGUUCUGCAUCCUCGCGCGGCCGUGGCAUGCGGCCGCAUGCCCGGACCGCGCGACUUCCCGGCGCCCGUCCUCGCGCACGGCCGCGUGUCCUCCGACACACGGACUUCCCGGCGCCCGUUCUUGCUCAUCCGAUGCCCG